UUUCAAACAUUUGUCUGAGUUACUGCAUCUAUUAUCUAAUAUCAGUAUUAUAUCAAUUAUGUUUAAUUCUUUGUAACUUUUGCCGCACUUUUUCUUCAUAGCUAUCGUAGCUUUCCGGUAUACUUCGUUUUACUUCGGUUCGAUUGUCAGUCCCUUCGGUACAAUUCAGUUUAGCUGUUAGUCCCUUCGGUAUAUUUCGUUUUGCUUCGGUUCACUUCGGUUGAUCGCAUUUACCUCAUACUACAGUGGAGGCGUAACUGAACGUACAUUAGACAGUAAUGUUCCAUCUGUGCGAUGUCAACGAUUGCUACAGACCGUGACAUAGUGAUUCAGAAACUCGGGAAAGAUUCGUUUUUUCAUUACUCGAAAAUAUGCAAAUGGAUAUAACGGAAAAGAGUUAACGACUUCAAGGAAACUAAUCAUCAUUUUCACCAAGAUACCACCAGGAAGAGUGGACCUCCAUCCAUUCCCCAUAAAUGGCGCACCUUCUCGAGGAAACGAGUAUCCAGUUAACCGUUCUGGCAUUACGAACUUGUUACGUAGAGUUUUAUAAAUGCGAAUCAUCUUUGUUA